rnacentral:lncRNA from 1 species
UUGUGAUAUGAUUCUCUAGUAGAUGUUUAAAGUCGAUACUACAUUCUUUUCUUUAUCUAUUUGUUUGCACAAAAAAGUUUGUAAUUUGAGUAUUUAAUGAAACAAAUUAAAUAUGUAUUCAUAAUUGUAUAUGUUAUUUAAUAUUUCAUUGAUAGGGGCGAGAAUAGGCCAUUUUAAAAUUUUGCCCCGUUGCCCUGGCCAUAUUUUAGGGCGGGUCUCGUGGUGGGGGAAAUUAUCAAAAUUCUUUUGAUUUUUUCUCGUCCCGUCGGCCGCCCCGGUCAUAAUUUCUGGGACGAAGCUCAAGGCAAGCCUGUCCUGUCUACGAACCGUCCCGGUUUUACCGUGGUCUUCAUAGACUAGAGUGGGGCACGAAGCAAGGCCUCUCCAACCAUGAUCCGCCCUGUUCUCACUCAUCUCUAAUCUCAGACAGUAUCUAUAUAUCAGAUUUAUGAGCCCAUAAGUGAAAAUAUUUCUAAUUCAGUAUAUGAAACAGUAUGUUGUUUUUUCUCAGAGUAUAGAAGCUUCUAGACAGAAUACAUAACCUUAUAGACAAAGUAUGGAGAUUCAGAGGAUAGGAAUAUCAGAAUAGAAUAUUCUAUAUAUAGAAUAUACACCCCAUAUCAAGUGAGACGUACAAGUAAUCUUAGUACUAGAUCUGGUAUCACCAGUAUUUCUUUGUUUUUGAUUUUUUUUCCUUUCUUUUUUGCCAGGUCUCGCUUCUUUUGAGAAUAACAUUUUCUCUUAAUCUUCAAAGGCUAAUGCUUUGCACAUUAAUGUGAAACGAUAACAGAGAUCCCUUUAGUAGAGUCCUCCCAGACCGCGACAGUACCCUGCGCUCCUCAUCCAUGCACGCACCAGGAAGGUGGCGAAGAAGUACUCGACCAUUGUUGCCAUUGCCGAGGAGUGUUCUUGGGGAAAAGACUUGAUGCCUCAUCUUCAACCUCUGAACAUUCUUUCGAUCAGACACCUCCGAGCCCGAGGUGUCUCAUAUCAUAGGGUAGAUGCGUUCAAGGGCGACAUUAGUAUCCACGAUUAUUGUCUGCAUGGUUCCCCACAUGAGUCACACCAUAUUACGGAUUUUGCUAUGAUGUCCUACUUGACUAGCUAAAAUGUUUCGUAUCUUUUAUCUAAAUCUCUCAAUUAUUGUUUCUUAAUCAUUUUGCACUGCGCGACACGUCGGACGGAGGAUCUGCGCACUACGGUACUCUCCACUCGUUUUUGUUGUAACAGUGUUGAGGUUCCGACGAUCGUCGGAGAGAAAUUCGGUUGUGGUUAAAAGAGAUUAAGGAUAAAACUAACAUAAUAAAAUUCAUAUAAAACUCAUAACUUUUAUAUAAAACGUAAGCAAUUUAUAAUGUCUA